rnacentral:rRNA from 1 species
CUAUACAUGACUCUGCGCAUAUCAAUAAGCGGAGGAAAAGGUACCUACGCUUAGGAUGUUGAAGAUAUGCGCGACACGACUCUAUACAUGACUCUGCGCAUAUCAAUAAGCGGAGGAAAAGCAUAACAUGUAUACCUACGCUUAGGAUGUUGAAGAUAUGCGCGACACGACUCUAUACAUGACUCUGUGCAUAUCAAUAAGCGGAGGAAAAGAAACUAACAAGGAUUCCCUUAGUAACGGCGAGUGAAGCGGGAAGAGCUCAAAUUUGAAAUCUUCAAGGUUUCCCUUUACGAAUUGUAGUUUAAAGAAGUGUUUUCUGUUGGAGUUUCGGUAAAAGUUCUUUGGAAUAGGACAUCAUAGAGGGUGAGAAUCCCGUAUUUGACCGUUACUUUCCAGCUGUGUGAUACACUUUCAAAGAGUCGGAUUGUUUGGGAAUGCAGUCCAAAAUGGGUGGUAAAUUUCAUCUAAAGCUAAAUAUUGGCGAGAGACCGAUAGCGAACAAGUACCGUGAGGGAAAGAUGAAAAGAACUUUGAAAAGAGAGUUAAACAGUACGUGAAAUUGUCAAAAGGGAAGCGUUUGACACCAGUGUUGUUUUCUCGAAAAUCAAUUAAAAAAGGCCGGAUUUUGUGUUGUAUGACCUUAAAAGCUUUCUUCACUCUUUUCUUGUCUUUUUUAAUGCACUUUUCGUUUAACAAGUCAACAUCAGUUUCUUUUGUUGUAAAAGGGUCAUUGGAAGGUGGCUUUCUUUUCGGAGAAAGUGUUUAUAGCCUUGUGCCUCUGCAAUCGGGGAGAUUGAGGACAGCAGCGUAGACUCUUCGGGGUUAGAUACACUUGUGCUAAGCUAUAGCCUUGUAUAGACAACUUGUUGACUAUGCUCAGUCAUGUAGCUUACUCGCUUGCGCUAUUUUACCUACGCUUAGGAUGUUGAAGAUAUGCGCGACACG